rnacentral:rRNA from 1 species
CUUGUACACACCGCCCGUCACACCAUGGGAGCGGGUUACUGCCAGAAGUAGUUAGCCUAACCGCAAGGAGGGCGAUUACCACGGCAGGGUUCGUGACUGGGGUG